rnacentral:lncRNA from 1 species
CAUACGUUUCUUUCCAAGUGAGCAUCAAUAAUCUAAGCAUAUCUUUUAUUUGUUGCAAUGGUAGCCCAAUGCCAUGCAGAACUGAAUCCUCAGCAGUCAGAUCAGCAUUCCCGUGUAUCAACCAUGUCCCUUGGAUUCCAGCCAAGAAUGCGAGAGAAGAACUUCAGGAAAAGCGAGAAAACCUCAGCAUACACGAAACAAAAGGUUCCAAGACGCGAAAAUGCAGAGAAAUCGCAUUCGUCCAGCGAGAAAAACCUUGGGACAAGGAGAAAGUCUCGAUAUUUCUACCAAGACGCAAGAAUGGAAAUGGAGGUGAAAUCCUACCUGAAUCUCGCGAAGCCGCAUCAAUUUCCACAAAGAUCGACCAGAUUUCGAGCUUCGCUUCGGCGCCUGGUCGAUCCAUCAGCGCUCGUUGGGAGGGAAGUAUCCAGUCGCCAGCUUAAUCUCCGGUUGAGCCAAC